GGGGGUCGAAGACCUAGUUGAUAGACACGGCGUAAGGGUGGUUAGGGAAAACCAAAAAUAAAGUUAAAGAGCCUCUAAGCUGUCGCACGCACCCCGAGAGCUCGAGAUCCAAACACGAAAGUAACUUUAAAACUACCUCACCUGACCCCACGAAAGCUAAGAAACAAACUGGGAUUAGAUACCCCACUAUGCUUAGCCAUAAAACAAGAUGUAAAACUACACACACAUCCGCCUGGGUACUACGAGUACUGCUUAAAACCCAAAGGACUUGGCGGUGCCUCAGACCCACCUAGAGGAGCCUGUUCUAGAACCGAUAAACCCCGUUAAACCUCACCACUUCUUGUUUCUCCCGCCUAUAUACCGCCGUCGUAAGCUUGCCCUGUGAAGGCCCAGCAGUAAGUAAAAUUGGUAAAACCAAAAACGUCAGGUCGAGGUGUAGCGAAUGAAGUGGAAAGAAAUGGGCUACAUUUUCUAAUUUAAUAGAAUAACACGAAUGACACCCUGAAACACAUGUCUGAAGGUGGAUUUAGUAGUAAAAAGCAAAUAGUGUGUCCUUUUGAAUUAGGCUCUGAGACGCGCACACACCGCCCGUCACUCUCCCCUACUAACAUAAAACCCAUAUAUUAAUAAGUUAACCAAAAACACGGGGAGGCAAGUCGUAACAUGGUAAGUGUACCGGAGG
rnacentral:rRNA from 1 species